AGCUAAUAGAUACCCAGGUAGUCCACGCCGUAAACGAUGGCCCACUCGGCCUUUGGGAGCGGAAACCUCCGUUCCUGGGGGCCUUAGCUAAACGCGGGAAGUGGCCCGCCUGGGAACUACGAGCGCAAGCUUAAAACUCAAAGGAAUUGACGGGGGCCCGCACAAGCAGCGGAGCGUGUGGUUUAAAUUCGACGCAACGCGCAGAACCUUACCCAGGUUUGACAUGCAGCUGCAAGCCCACGAAAGUGGGUCGCCUUCGAGGGUGCUGCACAGAUGCUGCAUGGCUGUCGUCAGCUCGUGUCGUGAGAU
rnacentral:rRNA from 1 species